CUAAAAGAAGUCCAACAGGGAGGGCCACAGGAGACGGGAGAGAGGGGGAGCCUAGACAGUGAAUGGGCCAACCAGAGCAGGCGCAGAAGACGCGCGCGCGCACGCACACCAAUCAGAGUGGAAGCUGGGGACAACCAAUCCGGUUGGUGGAUGGGAACUGCAGACCCCGCGAAUACAGAGUCGUGGCGCAGGGAGAGGGGUGGAGGGGUGGAUGGGUGGGUCACCCCACCCUGAGACUGAGAAUCUGGGUGUGAAGUUGAAGGACAUCCAUCUGGAAACGGAUCUUUGCCAUCUCCUCUGGCUUCUACUUUACGUGCGGGGAAACUGAAGCCAACAGGAGCCCUUCUGCCUUGUUCUGUCUCUCGAACGCAUUGAGAUCCAGGACGCUGAGGGGAAGAAAGGAAAGAUGGGAAGAUGUGCUGAGGUCCUGUUCCAGAGCCCUGCAGCCCCCAGUGGUGGCAGGUGUAGGGCCAUUGGAAACCAUGAGUGAGCAGAGGUCCAGAGGAAGUAGAAACUAAGAGCUGGCAGAAGCUAUGUGGUGGCGGCUAUGAAGUAAUGUGAGGCAAGAUGAAAUAUGUACAAGUUGAAAUCAGGAGGAUACAGAAGCCAUCAACUAGCAAAAGCUUCAGAGGGGUAGAAAAAGCCAGUCAACAGCGAGAGCAGAGUCACAUUAAUAGGGGUCAUCAGAGAGAACCCGGAUUCCCCGUAGCUGGCUGUCCCCUGAGUUCGCAACAACCUUCCAGUUCCAGCUCCCUGGAUCCAUAAGAGUGGUAUUAUCCCAUCCUUAUUGUUGCACAUGAAUUCUUAUAAUAAACUUCCUGUCAUUUGA